rnacentral:rRNA from 1 species
CGGGUGCACUGAUCCGGCCGGGCCUUUCCCUCUGUGGAACCCCAUGGCCUUCACUGGCUGUGCGGGGGAAACAGGACUUUUACUGUGAAAAAAUUAGAGUGCUCCAGGCAGGCCUAUGCUCGAAUACAUUAGCACGGAAUAAUAGAAUAGGACGCGUGGUUCUAUUUUGUUGGUUUCUAGGACCGCCGUAAUGAUUAAUAGGGACAGUCGGGGGCAUCAGUAUUCAAUUGUCAGAGGUGAAAUUCUUGGAUCUAUUGAAGACUAACUACUGCGAAAGCAUUUGCCAAGGAUGUUUUCAUUGAUAAGGAACGAAAGUUAGGGGAUCGAAGACGAUCAGAUACCGUCGUAGUCUUAACUAUAAACUAUGCCGACUAGGGAUCGGACGAUGUUAUUUCUUGACGCGUUCGGCACCUUUCGAGAAAUCAAAGUGCUUGGGCUCCAGGGGGAGUAUGGUCGCAAGGCUGAAACUUAAAGAAAUUGACGGAAGGGCACCACCAGGGGUGGAACCUGCGGCUUAAUUUGACUCAACACGGGGAAACUCACCAGGUCCAGACACAGUGAGGAUUGACAGAUUGAGAGCUCUUUCUUGAUUCUGUGGGUGGUGGUGCAUGGCCGUUCUUAGUUGGUGGAGUGAUUUGUCUGCUUAAUUGCGAUAACGAACGAGACCUUAACCUGCUAAAUAGCCCGUACUGCUCUGGCAGUUCGCCGGCUUCUUAGAGGGACUAUCGG